AUUGAACGCUGGCGGCAUGCUUUACACAUGCAAGUCGAACGGUAACAGGGUGCUUGCACCGCUGACGAGUGGCGAACGGGUGAGUAAUGCGUCGGAACGCACCGAGUAAUGGGGGAUAACGCAGCGAAAGCUGUGCUAAUACCGCAUACGCUCCGAGGAGGAAAGCGGGGGACCUUCGGGCCUCGCGUUAUUCGAGCGGCCGACGUCUGAUUAGCUAGUAGGUGAGGUAAGAGCUCACCUAGGCGACGAUCAGUAGCGGGUCUGAGAGGAUGAGCCGCCACACUGGGACUGAGACACGGCCCAGACUCCUACGGGAGGCAGCAGUGGGGAAUUUUGGACAAUGGGCGCAAGCCUGAUCCAGCCAUGCCGCGUGAGUGAAGAAGGCCUUCGGGUUGUAAAGCUCUUUCAGGUGGAAAGAAAAGGUUACGGAUAAUACCUGUAACUGAUGACGGUACCAUCAGAAGAAGCACCGGCUAACUACGUGCCAGCCGCCGCCGUAA
rnacentral:rRNA from 1 species